rnacentral:snRNA from 1 species
AGCUUUGUGCAGUGGCAUUAUCAUAGCCAAUAAGGUGUAUUGGAGGCACGAUUAUUGCUAAUUGAAGAAAAAAUAAAAUGGCUGUCUACAAGAAAUACCGUGCACUAAAAUCUGAUGUUUUUUGUGAUACACAAAUUACUUGGUCCACUUUCCACCCAAUCUUUAGGU